GACGAACGCUGGCGGCGUGCUUAACACAUGCAAGUCGAACGGAAAGGCCCUGCUUUUGUGGGGUGCUCGAGUGGCGAACGGGUGAGUAACACGUGAGUAACCUGCCCUUGACUUUGGGAUAACUUCAGGAAACUGGGGCUAAUACCGGAUAGGAGCUCCUGCUGCAUGGUGGGGGUUGGAAAGUUUCGGCGGUUGGGGAUGGACUCGCGGCUUAUCAGCUUGUUGGUGGGGUAGUGGCUUACCAAGGCUUUGACGGGUAGCCGGCCUGAGGGGGUGACCGGCCACAUUGGGACUGAGAUACGGCCCAGACUCCUACGGGGGGCAGCAGUGGGGAAUAUUGCACAAUGGGCGGAAGCCUGAUGCAGCAACGCCGCGUGCGGGAUGACGGCCUUCGGGUUGUAAACCGCUUUCGCCUGUGACGAAGCGUGAGUGACGGUAAUGGGUAAAGAAGCACCGGCUAACUACGUG
rnacentral:rRNA from 1 species